CGGCGUGCCUAAUACAUGCAAGUCGAACGAACUCUGGUAUUGAUUGGUGCUUGCAUCAUGAUUUACAUUUGAGUGAGUGGCGAACUGGUGAGUAACACGUGGGAAACCUGCCCAGAAGCGGGGGAUAACACCUGGAAACAGAUGCUAAUACCGCAUAACAACUUGGACCGCAUGGUCCGAGUUUGAAAGAUGGCUUCGGCUAUCACUUUUGGAUGGUCCCGCGGCGUAUUAGCUAGAUGGUGGGGUAACGGCUCACCAUGGCAAUGAUACGUAGCCGACCUGAGAGGGUAAUCGGCCACAUUGGGACUGAGACACGGCCCAAACUCCUACGGGAGGCAGCAGUAGGGAAUCUUCCACAAUGGACGAAAGUCUGAUGGAGCAACGCCGCGUGAGUGAAGAAGGGUUUCGGCUCGUAAAACUCUGUUGUUAAAGAAGAACAUAUCUGAGAGUAACUGUUCAGGUAUUGACGGUAUUUAACCAGAAAGCCACGGCUAACUACGUGCCAGCAGCCGCGGUAAUACGUAGGUGGCAAGCGUUGUCCGGAUUUAUUGGGCGUAAAGCGAGCGCAGGCGGUUUUUUAAGUCUGAUGUGAAAGCCUUCGGCUCAACCGAAGAAGUGCAUCGGAAACUGGGAAACUUGAGUGCAGAAGAGGACAGUGGAACUCCAUGUGUAGCGGUGAAAUGCGUAGAUAUAUGGAAGAACACCAGUGGCGAAGGCGGCUGUCUGGUCUGUAACUGACGCUGAGGCUCGAAAGUAUGGGUAGCAAACAGGAUUAGAUACCCUGGUAGUCCAUACCGUAAACGAUGAAUGCUAAGUGUUGGAGGGUUUCCGCCCUUCAGUGCUGCAGCUAACGCAUUAAGCAUUCCGCCUGGGGAGUACGGCCGCAAGGCUGAAACUCAAAGGAAUUGACGGGGGCCCGCACAAGCGGUGGAGCAUGUGGUUUAAUUCGAAGCUACGCGAAGAACCUUACCAGGUCUUGACAUACUAUGCAAAUCUAAGAGAUUAGACGUUCCCUUCGGGGACAUGGAUACAGGUGGUGCAUGGUUGUCGUCAGCUCGUGUCGUGAGAUGUUGGGUUAAGUCCCGCAACGAGCGCAACCCUUAUUAUCAGUUGCCAGCAUUAAGUUGGGCACUCUGGUGAGACUGCCGGUGACAAACCGGAGGAAGGUGGGGAUGACGUCAAAUCAUCAUGCCCCUUAUGACCUGGGCUACACACGUGCUACAAUGGAUGGUACAACGAGUUGCGAACUCGCGAGAGUAAGCUAAUCUCUUAAAGCCAUUCUCAGUUCGGAUUGUAGGCUGCAACUCGCCUACAUGAAGUCGGAAUCGCUAGUAAUCGCGGAUCAGCAUGCCGCGGUGAAUACGUUCCCGGGCCUUGUACACACCCCCCGUCACACCAUGAGAGUUUGUAACACCCAAAGUCGGUGGGGUAACUUUUUAGGAACCAGCCGCC
rnacentral:rRNA from 2 species